ensembl:lncRNA
AUGGCGAGGAAGGGCGAAGCCUCCGCACAUCUCUACGGUGAACCAAGGAAAUUUGACCCGAAGUUCAGAGGACCUAUUCAUAACAGGCACUGCACAGACAUUAUUUGCUGUGUGAUCUUCAUAGUUGUCAUUCUGGGUUACAUUGCAUUGGGAGUUGUGGCUUGGGUGCACGGGGACCCCAGGAAAGUGAUUUAUCCAACUGACAGCUAUGGGCAGUUCUGUGGUCAGAAAAAUACCCUCAAUAAGAACAAGACCAUUUUGUUUUACUUCAACAUUCUGAAGUGUGCCAGCCCCGUUGUGUUAAUAAACCUACAGUGCCCUACAACACAGCUUUGUGUCUCAAAGUGCCCAGACAGGUUUGCAACCUACAUUGAUGUUCAGGCUUCCUACAGAUAUAGACCAGAUCAGUGGAAUUACUUCAGGCAGUUCUGCAAACCUGGUUUUAACAAUCCUCGCAAGUCUGUUGCUCAAGUCCUACGUGAUGAAGAUUGUCCUUCGAUGAUCAUUCCAAGCAGGCCUUUUUUGAAGAGAUGCUUCCCAGACUUCUCCACAAAGAAUGGUGUGUUGACCGUGGCAAAUCAGACUACAUUCAAAGAUGGAAGAGGGAAAACGAGAAAUGUAACUGAUCUCAGGGAAGCUGCAAAUGGCAUCAAUAAUGUCCUGGAUGCAAGAUCAGUUGGAAUGAAAAUUUUUGAAGACUAUGCCAUUUCUUGGUAUUGGAUUUUAAUUGGGCUGUUCAUUGCAAUGAUGCUGAGUCUGCUCUUUCUUGUGCUAUUGAGGUUCACAGCUGGGGUUCUCUUCUGGAUUUUCAUCUUUGGUGUGAUUGGAAUUAUAGGUUAUGGCAUCUGGCAUUGUUACUGGGAGUAUGAUCAUCUUAAAGGAAUACCUGGAUCUGACCUCACUGUUUAUGAUAUUGGAUUCCAGACAGACUUCAAAGUGUACCUGCAACUGAGGCAAACAUGGUUAGCAUUUAUGAUAAUACUUUGUGGUGUUGAGGUCAUUAUCAUACUGAUGCUGAUCUUCCUAAGAAAUCGGAUCCGGAUUGCUAUUGCACUGCUGAAGGAAGGUAGUAGGGCAAUUGGCUAUAUAAUGUCUACACUGUUCUACCCAAUCGUCACCUUCUUACUCAUUGCAAUUUGUAUUUCCUACUGGGCUGUGACAGCUGUUUUUCUGGCCACAUCAGGAGAACCUGUGUAUAAAGUAAUGGCUAAUCAAACGCUGUGCAAACUUUUUAACACAACCAACGUGACUAAAUUCUGCCCAGGUGCUCAGUGUACUUUUGCGUUUUAUGGAGGAGAACCAAUGCCUUUUGUACCCUUGCUGGUGCCUUUGGCCUCUUAUUACUGGGCCUAUCGAAAACCAGCUGAUAUUCCACUGUGGCCACUCUUCUCUUCAUUUGGACGAGCAAUACGAUACCAUACAGGUUCGCUGGCAUUUGGAGCCUUAAUUCUUGCAAUUGUCCAGCUUAUUAGAGUAAUACUGGAGUACCUGGAUCACAAACUGAAAGGUACUCAGAACUCCUUCACUAGAUUUCUGCUCUGCUGCCUCAAGUGCUGUUUCUGGUGUUUGGAAAAAUUCUUAAAAUUUAUAAACAGAAAUGCCUACAUCAUGAUUGCCAUAUAUGGUAAAAACUUCUGCACCUCGGCAAAGGAAGCAUUCUUUUUGCUCAUGCGAAAUGUGGUGAGGGUUGCAGUUCUGGACAAAGUUACAGACUUUCUUCUAUUCCUGGGGAAAAUCCUUGUUGCUGGUGGUGUAGGUAAGCUAGUAGAUUUUUUUUCUGAAUUGUAUGUUCUUUAUUCUGGUAUACAAAAGCAUGCCUGCCAUAUUAAUAUAUGCUUAGUUAGCAGCUGGAGGUUCUCAUUGGGCUAACUAUUUGGAAAUCUGUUCCUGUGUUUCUGGUGCUAGAUUGAACUAAAAACCUUUUUUUCUUUUUUUUUCCACUUCCCCCCCCUGCCCAGCACCUGGUUUGCCUUGACCAGUAUCUUUUCCAUAAUUGCUUUUACAGCUCUUGCAUGUGUGGCUGUUGCAAGGACUUCUGUGUGGCCACAGCAUUAUAGUUGAAUCAAACCAAAUUCACAUCCAAUAAGUCAGCCACAGUCAGUUCUCCUUUCAGAAGAACUGAACAAAAUUGCAAUGAGAUUCACCUGGUAACAGACAACUGCCUACAAGAUGCUGGUGGUACAGGUCUGCCAGGAAUGGUCCUGAAGCUCUGCUGUAUUUCAAGCCAUUAUAGCUAUAAGCUAUAGUAAAAGAAAUAGAAUAUUUCUAGCAUCCUUAUAGGGUCUUCUUAGUUAUCAGUAAAUAUUAAGUAGACUAUUCAUGGUUUUCUGUGACAGAAAAGUGUUCUUUUUUUUUAAAUUAAAGCACUUCCAGAAAUUCAAGUUGGCAGUGUUUCUGUUGCAGUUUUUCCAAAUCGGCAGCAGUUUCAAAAAACUAUUUUUACAAAUAACUGUAUUUUGCAUUC